UUAAAUAGUAAAGGAAGCUAUCUAACAGAGGCACCUCUCAUUUUCAUUACUUCAUGCUGAUUAGAGAAGCAAGCCGUAAUACUUAUUUUUUUACUCCUUUAUGUAUUUUUAGGUGCAUACAUAGAAUAUAUGUGGAAAGAGCAGAAAAAUCUGGUUUACCUGCAUCACUGCUUUCCUCUCUGCUCAAGAGGUAGGGGCCAGGGGAGUGGGUGUGUGGGCUGGGGGUGUGCUUGCUGGCAACAGAAAGCAAACAUGGAUUUCUCUACUGCAAUAUCUUAUUUUAAUUUCCUUUUUUUUUUUUUUUUAAGGAAUAAAAGCCCACCAUGCAAUGUAUUCUGUAUUAAGCCAGGAUAAAAAUACAGUACUUGGUCCAAGUUUGUAAUCAUAAAUCCAGGAGGUAGCUCCCUGCAUUUUAGGAGAAUUAAGUCAGUUAUGUCCAUGUAAAAGUUCUGGAGCAAUAAGCAGUGUAGUCAAUCCUGUGAUAAUUACUGCUAAUGCACAACAGUUGCAACAGCCUCCAAGUUGUUUCCGACUGGCCAAGUUGGCAUUUUCUGGAUGCCAACAAAUCCAAGAGAAGAAGCAAAGGGAUGCGGAGAAGACAAUCUGACAUUUGGUUCACUUUGGAGAAGGUAGCAGAGACAAAACCAGCACUUAGUGAUUUCAGCAUUUGUGUUCCUGGGAAGAACUCCUGUUUCACUCCCUGCUACAUGAGACUGUAAAUGCUUCACUCUCCCUGCCUGCACUGAGUCAUCAAAUACUCUUGUGGUCAAACUUUGACUAAUCAGAAACUUGUAAAGAUUCUUGUGGAUAAUCUGCAGAUUCACAGCACAGAUAUUGGUGCUACACACUGCUGAACUCAAAUACUAAAUAUGGGUACCAUGAGUGUGUUAACUAUAAUAAUAAGCUGUGUUUUCUUGAUUGAAUUUUUCCCUAUGAGGAUUUUAAAAAGGUUUGCUGAUGUUUGGAAGCUAAGUUUUGCGGCACCUGUGCUGAGAAGGAAUUAGUAGGGAUAAAUGGAUAUGAAGGGUAGAAUUAUAAACUCAUUUACGCAUCUCAGUAGGCUUG